GUGGGGCUUGGUGGUGUAGCAGGGGCGGUGAAAAAGACUCUUUUCUUCCAAUUGGUAGAAUGAAUUUCUUCUAUGAUUCCUAAAGCAGAACAACUAGAAAUGUCUAAGUUAGACUCAUUUUUUUUUUUUUAGGGCUUAAAAUUUGAGUCCUCAGUGAACCAGGGGAAGAAAGAAUAAUGGAGGGCUCAAGAGUUUUCCUAGUGAUCCUGUGGCUUCAGUUAACCUGGAUGAGGAGAAGUCACCAGAAUGAAGUGAAGCAGAGUCCUGUACCUCUGACUGUUCUGGAGGGACUCACUGCCUUUCUCAACUGCAGUUACAGUGACAGUGCUUCCCAGUACUUCGUGUGGUACAGACAGUAUUCUGGGAAGGGCCCCGAGUUUCUGAUGCACAUGUACUCCAAUGGUGAAAAAGAAGAAGGAAGAUUUACAGGGCUGCUCAAUAAAGCAAGCCGAUAUCUCUCCCUGUUCAUCAGAGAUUCCCAGCUCAGCGACUCAGCUACCUACUUCUGUGCAGUGAGCACACAGUGCUCCCCUGGCACCUGCUGUCUGUACCCAAACCCGCUAGGGCCCCAGCAAUGCCUGAUGUAG